rnacentral:misc_RNA from 1 species
GUAGGUGAACCUGCGGAAGGAUCAUUAUUGAAUAUUCUUGAUGGGUUGUAGCUGGCUCUUCGGAGUAUGUGCACGCCUGUCUUGACUUAAUUCAUCCACCUGUGCACCUUUUGUAGUCUUGGGGGUUGAGUGCAGUCGACUAUCGGAUGGCUAUCAUGGCCUAUCCGGAUGUGAGGAAUGCUGAGUGCGAAAGCAUGCAGCUCUCUUCAAAACGGCUGUAAACCCUCUCCCUCAAGUACUAUGUAUUCAU